UGUAGUGAAGAGCCCAAGCUGCCAGAAAGAACAGAGAAGACAGAAUAAAAAGCAAUGGAAACUGAAACAUCUGUCCCCUUUAUGCUGCAAGAGCUGAGCUCAGAACUGGGCACUGCAAAGAGUCUUUACUUAGAAGACAGAAACUGCAAGAUGAUCCCAGGAGACAGGUGUGAUGCUCAGAUGCGUAGGAAUAGGUACAGAAGACAGACAGCUGGUACAAGGGCACGCCCUGAGAAUAAUACUGGCAGGUAUAAGAAGUUCUGUUUUGCG